CUGCAUGGCUGUCGUCAGCUCGUGUCGUGAGAUGUUGGGUUAAGUCCGUAACGAGCGCAACCCUGUCCUUAGUUACCAGCACGUUAUGGUGGGCGACUCUAAGGAGACUGCCGGUGACAAACCGGAGGAAGGUGGGGAGUGACGUCAAGUCAUCAUGGCCCUUACGGCCUGGGCUACACACGUGCUACAAUGGUCGGUACAAAGGGUUGCCAAGCCGCGAGGUGGAGCUAAUCCCAUAAAACCGAUCGUAGUCCGGAUCGCAGUCUGCAACUCGACUGCGUGAAGUCGGAAUCGCUAGUAAUCGUGAAUCAGAAUGUCACGGUGAAUACGUUCCCGGGCCUU
rnacentral:rRNA from 1 species